CACCCUGGCUCCAUCCUCUUUGUCUUUAAUUUAUUGGGAGGGCUUGAUGCACAGAGGAGAACCAUUCCAAUGGAGGGUGUGUGUGGGUGACUGGAAUAAAGGACACAAGGGCUUCCUUUUCUGAGAAAAGACGCUGCCUUGUCAGCCAGAGAUGGUGCCUUGGGAGACCAGUUCCUGAGUGGAUGAAGAGAGAGUUUUGUGCAGGACAUUCCUCUGGGAGAUCACUGGGGAGAUGGGGAUCCCUAAGUUGGCCACCCAGGAGAGAAAAUGCCUGAUGAGGUGCAAAGACAGAGGCUGUGGUCCCCUUCCUGGGGACCUUCUUCAGUGACUUGGUAAUGCUGGACACUGCCCCCUGAAGGACUAUGUGGAUAUGAAUGAGCCUGGGAGUGGUGCAGCGGAAACCAGGAUCCUGAGGCUUGGGAGGAGAGGGCCCUGGACUGAGCCCUUAAAUCUCAGGCCUCACUCGGAAAACAACUUCUCCUGAGAGCCUCGCAUCUGGGCCAGUGAAGGGAGACAUCAGCCCCAAGGCGUCUUUGAGUGAUGGAGGCUCCACAGCAGCUG
rnacentral:lncRNA from 13 species